UGCCAGCAGCCGCGGUAAUACGAAGGGUGCUAGCGUUGUUCGGAAUUACUGGGCGUAAAGAGCAUGUAGGCGGAUGAAUUAGUCAGAGGUGAAAGCCCCGAGCUUAACUUGGGAACUGCCUUUGAUACUGUUUAUCUAGAGUCCGAGAGAGGUUAGUGGAAUUCCCAGUGUAGAGGUGAAAUUCGUAGAUAUUGGGAAGAACAUCAGUGGCGAAGGCGACUACCUGGACUGAUAUUGACGCUGAGGCGCGAAGGCGUGGGUAGCGAACGGGAUUAGAUA
rnacentral:rRNA from 1 species